AGGCAUUUUGUAGAGUCCAAAUAUUUUGGUUAGAUGACUAAGAUGAUGAGCUAACUGUUGUAAAUUGUUUAAAUAAACAACAAAUUAUGAAAUUAGAGAACAGAGAUUGUACUCACUUUUUCGAGUUCGAAAAUUUCGAAUCUAAACAAAUUACAAAAAAAUGGAAAAAAAAAUAAUCAAAAUUGGGAAACUUCAGGUUAAGAGAGUGAUGAGAGCACAUAUCUGUAUGAUUGAUGAAAUCUUCCCUAUUAGUUUCACCAAAUGUGACCAUAUUUGCAGAUUUAUACAACGCAGUGAAGUGCUGAAAUUUCACUUCGAAUUGAGCUCUAUACAUCUCCAUCCAUGGGAAUGAAUGUACAUGAACUGAAAUUUAUAUUCUCCAGAUAUUGAAACUUGUGUUUGGAGAAGCAGUUUAUCAUUCUGAGUCAAUGCUAAUCAUCAUCAGAGGGUACCUGUCUUGCUUCAGACUAAGAUAGUCUUCUGUUAUUUGUAGAGCUUGCUUCCACAAGCCCUUUACCAGGCAAACUUGAUACACCAGUUCCUGAUGAUGAAGCCAAAAAACGACGAACUUCUGGUGCAUCCCCUGAUGAUGACGCAGCAAGAUUGUAUGUGUAAACCCUCAUUGGGUGGUCAAACUUGCAACUUGGACCAAACUUGCAGAUUCCAUAUUUAGAAUAGAAAAGACACACAGCCUCUCCCUAAAACCAACAAGGAAAAAAGUGUAAAAAAGAAAUUCUCAGUUGAUAUCUUUGAAAUAACCUAGGUAAAGGAAAGGUUAGCUAUAGUAACACGUCUCUUUCUCCUUCCUCUUAUUCUUUCCUCAUUAAUCUUUCAUCCUUUUUAUGAUUUCCAACUUUCGAAUAAUGUCAAACUAUGUUUCAAAGAUGUGAUACGUCUACAAAAUGUUGAACAACAUAAUUACAAAUGCCUGCUGAAACUAAAUAAAUCAAAUAUUCUAAACAGAAAAAUGCCUCUGAUAAUCAUUAUGUAUCCACAAAAAAGUAUAAUCAAAUUUUUAUUUUUCAUUCCAUACUCUUCAUGCAAAUUUAUAAAUUUGACCACAAAUGGCCAUACCAAGAAACUACUCAGAAUACCAUCCAAUUAGGGGCUAUUUCCUUUAGCUCGUGUGAUGAGGACAUCCUUUAUAGUUGGACUUUUAUUAUUAUUCCAGUAUUUUAGUUGGACUUUUAUUAUUGUUUCAGUUGGACUUUUAUUUAAGUUUACGUAUUUUAAUUAGGACUUAAAUAAUGGGCUUGGCCCUAUAUUUCUAGGUUUUCAUUAUUUAAACCUAUCAUUGAUUUGUAAUUUCUCAGUUGAUGAAUUUUGAUUAAAUAAAAGACUUGGCUUGCAGCCGUAUUCUCCUCUCUUCUCCGGCUCCUCCCUCCCCCCCCUUCUUCUUUCUCUGUUAUUGAUACUACAUCAAAUUGGUAUCAGAGCAAACCCUGGACAGCAAUUCACGCACCAUCAAUACAAAACCCGUUGCUGCAGACGCUACAAAACUUGCUACAACCAACCAGUUUUGUUUCAGCUUCAACUACAUACAAACUUACAGAACCCAGUUCUCGUUUCAGCAGAAUCCAGUUUCACGCCUCCACCGCUUCUGCAUAUGUUCCCGUCCACUGCACUUCACAAAAAUCAACGGCAACUGCAAAUCCCCAGCAACGACCAUUGAACCCCUCACACCAUAUUCCCCACCACGACCGCCGCUGAAAUUCUCCAAACCAACUUUACAGACAGCAACCAAAAACGUUUAAUUCCAGAAAAAUUCAUUAACCUUGCGACGCGACACCCACACCCGCAGUCGACCAACACAUCACCUUCAUCCAAAACCAGAACACGGAAUCAUCUCCCCACUGAAAGCUGCCUGCGAACUGCUCGGUCUUACAGAAACGGCACCCCAGUCUCGCCGCCGCCAACAAUCGCCAGCAAACUGCCGGCUGUACCAGUAAUCGCCGGCCAAGCCCAACGCCGUUGAGAUGUUCCUCGUCGGCCAGUCCAGUCGCCGACUUCUGCAGCCUUCAGUCGCCGACGUGUUGUAAUGAAUUAUGGGGUUAAUUGGUUUAUUAAUUAAGGGGUUGGGUAUUAGUUAUCAAUUGGGUUUUGGAUUAAUUGGUUGAAUAAUUAAGUGGGUUGGGUUAUUAGUUAUCAAUUGGGAUUGGGAUUGGGCUUGAUUGAGAUUUUGAUUGUACUUUAGGCCCAAAUUUGUGAAAUGGGC
rnacentral:lncRNA from 1 species